GAUGAACGCUGGCGGCGUGCCUAAUACAUGCAAGUCGAGCGAACAGACGAGGAGCUUGCUCCUCUGACGUUAGCGGCGGACGGGUGAGUAACACGUGGAUAACCUACCUAUAAGACUGGGAUAACUUCGGGAAACCGGAGCUAAUACCGGAUAAUAUAUUGAACCGCAUGGUUCAAUAGUGAAAGACGGUUUUGCUGUCACUUAUGGAUGGAUCCGCGCCGCAUUAGCUAGUUGGUAAGGUAACGGCUUACCAAGGCAACGAUGCGUAGCCGACCUGAGAGGGUGAUCGGCCACACUGGAACUGAGACACGGUCCAGACUCCUACGGGAGGCAGCAGUCGGGAAUCUUCCGCAAUGGGCGAAAGCCUGACGGAGCAACGCCGCGUGAGUGAUGAAGGUCUUCGGAUCGUAAAACUCUGUUAUUAGGGAAGAACAAAUGUGUAAGUAACUAUGCACGUCUUGACGGUACCUAAUCAGAAAGCCACGGCUAACUACGUG
rnacentral:rRNA from 1 species